rnacentral:rRNA from 1 species
UGGGGAAUAUUGGACAAUGGGCGCAAGCCUGAUCCAGCCAUGCCGCGUGAGUGAUGAAGGCCUUAGGGUUGUAAAGCUCUUUCGCCGGUGAAGAUAAUGACGGUAACCGGAGAAGAAGCCCCGGCUAACUUCGUGCCAGCAGCCGCGGUAAUACGAAGGGGGCUAGCGUUGCUCGGAAUCACUGGGCGUAAAGCGCACGUAGGCGGAUCGUUAAGUCAGGGGUGAAAUCCUGGAGCUCAACUCCAGAACUGCCCUUGAUACUGGCGAUCUCGAGUUCGAGAGAGGUUGGUGGAACUCCGAGUGUAGAGGUGAAAUUCGUAGAUAUUCGGAAGAACACCAGUGGCGAAGGCGGCCAACUGGCUCGA